CCCCCCUCGCGUGACCCGGGGACCUGGCUAUAAAUGAACCAUUGCGGGAGCUCCGACGCUCAGGGUAUCGGCUUCGAUCCCUGGUCUCGCUUCCGGCUUCGGUUCGAUCCCCUCCUUUCGGAUUACUUCAGCAUCCGAUUCUUUCACCAGGUGUUCUGUUGAAUAAUGCUUGGUAAGAGUUCAGAAUCGGGAGAUUUGGACGUUUGGUUUAAGCGCCUCAUUGUGUCUGGUGGUGGAGGGAAGAUGGAGGGGGCAGGGGAUGUCAUGACAGGUUGGAAGGACCUCCCUAUGGAACUUUUGCUGCGAGUCCUGUCUCCAGUGGACGACCGGACUGUGAUUGUGGCUUCAGAUGUUUGUACUAGCUGGAGAGAUGCACUGCGGUUGGGAAUUACUAGUAUUUCUCUAUCAUGGUGCAAGUACAACAUGAACAGUCUUGUGAAAUCGCUUGCCCCUAAGUUUGUGAAGCUGCAGGUGUUGACACUUCGACAAAAUUAUCGACCUCAGCUUGAGGAUGAUGCUGUGGAGACUGUUGCUAGGUACUGCCAUGAUUUGAGGGAUCUAGACCUUAGCAAAGGCCUGAAACUGAGUGACCGCUCUUUGUAUGCUUUGGCCGAUGGAUGUCCCCACCUAACAAAACUAAACAUCAGUGGUUGUGAAGCCUUUAGUGAUUAUGCUCUUGUAUACCUGAGUAGUUGCUGCAAAAACCUGAAAAACUUGAACCUUUGUGGAUGUUCGGCAGCUGCAUCGGACAGAGCUCUACAGGCUAUUUCAUUUAAUUGCCCUAAAUUGCAGUAUUUGAAUUUGGGCUGGUGUGAAGACAUCAGUGAUGAAGGAGUUACCAAUUUGGCAGUAGGUUGCCCUGAUCUCAGGGCGUUGGACUUGUGUGGCUGUGUUCAUAUAACAGAUAAAAGUGUGAUUGCAUUGGCAAAUGGCUGUCCGCAUCUGAGAUCUCUCGGCUUGUAUUACUGCCAAAACAUCACUGAUCGGGCCAUGUACUCGCUCGCAAACAGCCGUGCAAGGAAUGACACUCGGAUGUGGCAGAACAGCAGCCAUGACCAAGAAGGACUAGUGAACCUGAACAUCAGCCAGUGCACAGCCUUGACACCUCCGGCAGUCCAAGCUGUUUGUGACUCAUUCCCAGGGCUUCAUACCUGCCCCGGAAGGCACUCACUCAUCAUCAGCGGCUGCCUCAGCCUCACUUCUGUUCACUGUGGUUGCACCUUUCAAACUUCCCGUGCCGGUGGAGCAACUUUAGCUGGCGAUGCUUAGCACAAGUACCAGUCUCUGUACAUAUGUGCUCGACACAACAUUGCUACACCAAUUAACGAUGAGCAAGCUAAUUCUGCCGGAGAAUGAACCUCCACCGGUGAUAAAAGUUGGUCAUGGUCGCGGGUUGACUUUCUGUCCAGAGUUGCAUGUCAUCAUGACUUCCAUAGAAGAAAAGAAGAAAAGAUCAUGCUGAAACACAGCUACUAUGAUCAAGACCAGCUUAUCUCGACGUGGGGGAGAGGGAUGCGAGGAGCAGCAAGCAAGAACAGCUCUGAUUUCCGAGAUGCAGUUCCCCCGAUAUUCUCUGUCAUGUCCAGAUCUCCUGGCUUCAUGGCAUGGGGGAGUUCCCAGUCGAAGUAGAAGAGAAGAUGAGCCAGCACCAGCUCCACGCCGACCAUCGCAAACUGCACGCCGGGGCACAUCCUCCUCCCAGCUCCGAAGGGUAUGUACUCGAAGUUGGCCCCCUUGAAGUCGACCGGACUUCCUUGGAACCUCUCCGGCCGGAAGCACUCGGCGUCGUCGCCCCAGUAUGUUGGGUCCCUCCCCAGUGCCCAGGCAUUGACGACGACCCUGCUUCCUGCCGGUAUCUUGAAUCCCAGCACCUGCGACGUCUCC